rnacentral:rRNA from 1 species
UACGUAGGGUGCGAGCGUUGUCCGGAAUUAUUGGGCGUAAAGAGCUUGUAGGCGGUUUGUCGCGUCUGCUGUGAAAAUCCGGGGCUCAACCCCGGACUUGCAGUGGGUACGGGCAGACUAGAGUGUGGUAGGGGAGACUGGAAUUCUUGGUGUAGCAGUGAAAUGCGUAGAUAUCAAGAGGAACACCAGUGGCGAAGGCGAGUCCCUGGACAACACCUGACACUGAGGCACGAAAGCUAGGGGAGCAAACAGG